rnacentral:rRNA from 1 species
UACGUAGGGUGCGAGCGUUGUCCGGAAUUACUGGGCGUAAAGCGCACGUAGGCGGACUACUAAGUCAGGGGUGAAAUCCCGGGGCUCAACCCCGGAACUGCCUUUGAUACUGGUAGUCUCGAGUCCGGAAGAGGUGAGUGGAAUUCCGAGUGUAGAGGUGAAAUUCGUAGAUAUUCGCAAGAACACCAGUGGCGAAGGCGGCUCACUGGCCCGAUACUGACGCUGAGGUGCGAAAGCGUGGGGAGCAAACAGG